CAUUCCUCCACACUGCUCCCUCACCCUGUUACCCUUUCACACACUUGCACCCCAUUUUGUCAGCCCCCAACACUAUGUCACCAAUACAUACAGUCACUCCUCCCACACAGUCACUGUUUCCAACACUGCCUCCCACACUCUCACCUACCCACCGUCACAAUUCCACACACAUACUGUCACCCCCCACAUGCUGUCAUGCCUU